rnacentral:lncRNA from 1 species
CUCAACGGACGACACUUAGGUUUUGGCUGUGCAAAGCUGCUACAGACAGCAGCAUAUGUGAUGCCCGACUGGAUAUCUCGGCGGGUUAUGGUACGGCGGCUCGGUGUCGUGUGGAUCGUCUAGUCGGCGACCACCGCCCCUGUCGUCUCCGGCCCCCGUCGGGCGCAUUUUCUCCGCGGUGGUGCGCCGCGACCGGCUCUGGGUCGGCUUGGAAGAGUUUGGGGGUGAAGGUGGCCGGAGGCUCGACCGCCUCUGGCUUUACAGCACUCUCUGCUCCGACCUCGUCGCUUCCUGGGGCCGUGGACGCAGUACCUCGCUGUGCCUUCCUCCUCCCACCCGGGGGGGGGACGGGGCCCCCUCGCCCCCGGCGUGACUGUCAACCGGGACGGACUGUCCUCAGUGCGUCUCAACCGCGUCGCGUCGUUCAGGGCGGGGACCGGCUCACGUACUAUUUGGGUCUCCCCAAAUAGUUUUCAUGCAGAUCCAUAUGACAUAUUUCACAAUUUAAGCAAAAAAAUCAAAAAAUUGUUCGUCACCACAUAUGCUGACGAGGAAGCGAAGGGUUUUGCCUUUACUCCGGCAUCUUGACUCCACCUGACAGCACAUUUGGUGAAGUCCUAAAAAUGAUGUUUAAAAAUGGAAAACGACAUCAGGGGUUGUGAGGCUGAGUUACUAACAUCUCCCCAAAGAGUUUUCAUGCAUGAUAUGAUA